rnacentral:rRNA from 1 species
GACGAACGCUGGCGGCGUGCUUAACACAUGCAAGUCGAACGGAAAGGCCCUUCGGGGUACUCGAGUGGCGAACGGGUGAGUAACACGUGGGUGAUCUGCCCUGCACUUUGGGAUAAGCCUGGGAAACUGGGUCUAAUACCGAAUAGGACCACGCGCUUCAUGGUGUGUGGUGGAAAGCUUUUGCGGUGUGGGAUGGGCCCGCGGCCUAUCAGCUUGUUGGUGGGGUAAUAGCCUACCAAGGCGACGACGGGUAGCCGGCCUGAGAGGGUGACCGGCCACACUGGGACUGAGAUACGGCCCAGACUCCUACGGGAGGCAGCAGUGGGGAAUAUUGCACAAUGGGCGCAAGCCUGAUGCAGCGACGCCGCGUGAGGGAUGACGGCCUUCGGGUUGUAAACCUCUUUCACCAGGGACGAAGCGUAAGUGACGGUACCUGGAGAAGAAGCACCGGCCAACUACGUG